rnacentral:rRNA from 1 species
UACGAAGGGGGCUAGCGUUGCUCGGAAUCACUGGGCGUAAAGGGUGCGUUAGGCGGGUUUUUAAGUCAGAGGUGAAAUCCUGGAGCUCAACUCCAGAACUGCCUUUGAUACUGAGAAUCUUGAGUACGGGAGAGGUGAGUGGAACUGCGAGUGUAGAGGUGAAAUUCGUAGAUAUUCGCAAGAACACCAGUGGCGAAGGCGGCUCACUGGCCCGGUACUGACGCUGAGGUGCGAAAGCGUGGGGA